UUUCACAGGUUACCCCGUGGCCUGAGUGAGGAAGUCAAUGUCCUUGCUAGUCACUAUUUGUGGCGACAUCUUCAAAUUGCGUGAAACCCGUCAUACAGCUUCAAGUACCACUUCAAUUGAGAAAUCUUUUGAAGGAACAGAGGUAACUCCUCUUCCCAACGGUAACAAGCUUGAAGACAUGGUGGCAAUGCGCAGCCAAGCUCCUAAGUCGGUCGAUAUGGAGAAGGUUCAGAGAGCAGACGGAGAUGGGCGGUAAUUUAACCGCUUAAGGUGUGCUCCAGCCUCUUUCGAAAGAUUGAG
rfam:Macrostomum lignano uti_cns_0001181, whole genome shotgun sequence.